rnacentral:rRNA from 1 species
GAUUUCUGGCUUGAAACAUUUUGCCGGCCACGGUUUCGUGUGUUAGUGCUUGAUGUUCUGGCCAUCCUUCCAAUCGCUAUUCGUUCUUCUUCAUUGAGGGGCGAGUGGUAUUGGAUCUUUUACUUUGAAAAAAUUAGAGUGUUUCAAGCAGGCUUUAUGCUAUGAAUACAUUAGCAUGGAAUAAUAAUUUAGGACUUCGGUUCUAUUUUGUUGGUUUCUAGGACUGAAGUAAUGAUUGAUAGGGAUAGUUGGGGGUGCUAGUAUUCAGCGGCCAGAGGUGAAAUUCUCGGAUUCGCUGAAGACUAACUUAUGCGAAAGCAUU